rnacentral:rRNA from 1 species
UACGAGGGGUGCAAACGUUAUUCGGAUUUACUGGGUGUAAAGGGUGUGUAGACGGGUUAUUAAGUUCGUUGUUAAACCUUCCGGCCUAACCGGAAGCUCGCGAUGAAAACUGAUAGUCUAGAGGAUGGAAGAGAGAAGUGGAAUUCUCGGAGUAGCGGUAAAAUGCGUAGAUCUCGAGAGGAACACCGAUGGCGAAGGCAGCUUCUUGGUCCAUAUCUGACGUUGAAACACGAAAGCGUGGGGAGCAAACAGGAUUAGAUACCCCUGUA